rnacentral:tRNA from 1 species
ACGUCCAUUGUAUAAUGGAUAGGACAGAGGUCUUAGAGGUCUUCUAAACCUUUGGUAUAGGUUCUCAAAUCCUAUUGGACGCA